rnacentral:tRNA from 1 species
AGAAAUGUGGUUUAGUGGUUUGAGCAUUUGACUACAAUUCUGGAGACCAGGGUUCAAAUUCCUGCUCAGCUA